AACAAACGCUGGCGGCGUGCCUAACACAUGCAAGUCGUACGAGAAAGGGUCCUUCGGGGCCUGAGUAAAGUGGCGCACGGGUGAGUAACGCGUGGAUAAUCUGCCCUUCAGUGGGGAAUAACUCAUCGAAAGGUUGGCUAAUACCGAAUAAUGCUGUGAGACCUCGGUUGAUUAGCCAAAGAUAGCCUCUGCUUGCAAGCCCCCGCUGGAGGAUGAGGCCGCGUACCAUUAGCAAGUUGGUAGGGUAAUGGCCUACCAAGGCGACGAUGGUUAGCUGGUCUGAGAGGCGGAUCAGCCACACUGGAACUGAGACACGGUCCAGACUCCUACGGGAGGCAGCAGUGAGGAAUCUUGCGCAAUGUGGGCAACCCUGACGCAGCAACGCCGCGUGAGUGAGGAAGGUCUUCGGAUCGUAAAGCUCUGUCGGAUGGAAAGAACCGCAUAGGGGUAAACAGCCCCUGUGUCUGACGGUACCAUCAAAGGAAGCACCGGCUAACUCCGUGCCAGCAGCCGCCGUAACAC
rnacentral:rRNA from 1 species